UUUAAAAUUACACAAUUGAGAUAUACUAAAAUUGGAAUGAUGCAGAGAAUGUUCACAUGACCAUUGUGCAAGGAUGACAAGCAAAUUCGUGAAGCAUUACAUAUUUUU